CACUGGCAGGCAGGCAGAAUAUCCCAGCAAAUAUCUGCCAAUGAGCCAGGGGUUAUAUGAACUUAAUUGCUCAAGGGAACAUACUUUGGUUGCUGAUUCCAUGUCACACCCAAGCAAUAUAAAUCUGAACCUUGCUCUUGACUGAAAUUUGAGAAAUGUCUGCAGGCGUUUCACUAAAAUGCAGCUCUGCUGAAGGGGAUAUAUGUGCAUUGAAGAAAUGUAAUCAGAGUCUUCCAGCUAACUAGAAGCUGGUUGUGAAAAGAAAGUGCAAGACGUAUGUGCUGGAUGGGAAGUGUUGGGUGAAUAUCCAGCAGCAAUUUUGGGAAAGAAGGAGGAACUGCGCAUAGACGGAGAAUAACAAAAAGAAUUAAAAGUCAGGGAGCAGCUAAAGGGUAAAGGAGGGGUCUGGGAGUUCAGGGCAGCAGAAGGAGGAAGGAAACAGGCGAGGGAGGUAGGGGAAUGUCAGAUGUGGCUGGGACCAGAGAUCACUCUGCUCUUCCUUCCCAGAUGUGUUCUGAGUUACAGAAACUGGUCAAGGGUCAACAGUGCCCUCCUCCUGUCUCCAGUUUUGUCAGAAACUGGAGAAAAACAAGCAUCUUCUACAACAGAGGAUGCUGAAAAGAACAACCUCCUGUUACAUGCUAGCUGGUUUCAGCAGAGUUAAUAGCACAAGAAGAGAUGGAACAAAGGAAGGUAAGGGGGAGAUGGAGGAAACAACUGAAAAAAAAUAGGCAAAUUGCAGGUAACUUGUUUGGAGGGAAGGAAAGAUGAAGAAGGAGAGAGACCAUCUAUUUGUAUUUUCUCUUCAAUAUCAAUUUUUAAUCAAACAUGAAAUUUUCUGGAAGUAUUUGUAUGGGUUGUACAGAUUUGCUAUCAGAUAAACAGCCGUUUGAUUGUGCCUGCAGAUGAGAUGUGGUUGCUCUCAUUCAGAAACUCCAUCCAGGCUGCCAUACAUCCAAAAUCUCAGGUAUGUUUCUAAGCAACUACAUGGUGCAACCCCAUGGGUCUGAAAAGCUCUGGACUGACUUUGUAUCUGCUUCCUAGGUGAGCAAUUAUGCUCAUUGUCAUUGUCCUCAAAUCAUCAGAUGCACUCUGCCAAAGCUAAUAUUGUAAAAUGUGCAUAGUAAGUAGAUCCAACACAUCUUGAGUACAUCACUUAGCACAGACACCUGUACAUCAGGGCUGAAAAGAAGUGUGGCAGCCCCAAAUUACUCUUCUCUUCCAAGCCUCUUAAUUUGCUAUACUAUACUACUACCUACAUGUUUGUGAUUUACCUCAAAAACCUUGUUAGAAAGUACAAAAUGUAGGCAUUUCCCUGUUUUCCUAACCCCUCAUCACAGUAAAAUGUAAACUGGAAGGAGUAGAGGUAAUUAGGUCUCCCAGUAGCAACCAUGCUGCCUUAGAAAGAUUAGAUUAGCGCCCUGACCUCUGAAGGAACACAGAAUUAACUGUGGUGGAAGGUGCUUAAAACCUGGGAGAAACACGUGAUUUUCAUCCAGUGAGAGCAGGGAUUUCUCCUUCAGCUCACUAAGCACUCUGGAGUAGGAACAGUGCUUGGCCCAACAGUACAUGGAGCUCCAUACUUGCUUUUUAAUGCAGCACAAGGUGGAAACUCUGUUAAGAAGGUUCAUGACGUUUUCUGGAUCAGACAUCUCUUUCCCUUGCAAGUCUCUUAAGACAUCUAGUAUGUUAUCCUUGGCAUUUCCCU
ensembl:lncRNA